CAGGCAAGUCAGUCCAAAUUCUGACUGAACCACAGAAAACAGUGCGCACACACACACCUACCCAAGAGUGCCCCAAGGAAGCAGCUGGCUGAGAAGCUGCAAGGGAAAUGGGAAGGCCACAGCCUGGAGGCUGGAGACAACAGGAAGAUUCCUGCUUCUUCAUCUACUAAUAUUUCUAUCAUCAAGCAUCGUACAGAUAAACAAUCAAGAUGAAUCAAGAUAGCAAGGUUGCUAAUAUAAACACAGAGAUCUGAAAAUAAAGACCCAUUUCCAGCAGGCUCUGACAUGGUGGGUCAACUCAGCGUCUCCAUCACCUCGGCAUGUAUGGUUUUCCUGAAUCUCUCCUCCAAUGGGAUUUGUCUAAGUUAUCCAGAGGCUUUCCCCUGCUAGCAUCCCAGGAUAAUGAUCAACAUCCUCUCCCAGUGCCUGCUUCAUGGCUGCCUUUUAUAUUCUUUUGUGAUGUAAUCACUGCAAGAGAAGACCGUACCACAGCAGUUUCUGAGAACCAUUAAAGAGCAGUUAUUUUA